ACGGGUGAGUAACGCGUGGGAAUCUACCCAUCUCUACGGAACAACUCCGGGAAACUGGAGCUAAUACCGUAUACGUCCUUUUGGAGAAAGAUUUAUCGGAGAUGGAUGAGCCCGCGUUGGAUUAGCUAGUUGGUGGGGUAAUGGCCUACCAAGGCGACGAUCCAUAGCUGGUCUGAGAGGAUGAUCAGCCUCACUGGGACUGAGACACGGCCCAGACUCCUACGGGAGGCAGCAGUGGGGAAUAUUGGACAAUGGGCGCAAGCCUGAUCCAGCCAUGCCGCGUGAGUGAUGAAGGCCCUAGGGUUGUAAAGCUCUUUCAACGGUGAAGAUAAUGACGGCAACCGUAGAAGAAGCCCCGGCUAACUUCGUGCCAGCAGCCGCGGUAAUACGAAGGGGGCUAGCGUUGUUCGGAAUUACUGGGCGUAAAGCGCACGUAGGCGGAUACUUAAGUCAGGGGUGAAAUCCCGGGGCUCAACCCCGGAACUGCCUUUGAUACUGGGUAUCUCGAGUCCGGAAGAGGUGAGUGGAAUUCCGAGU
rnacentral:rRNA from 1 species